rnacentral:rRNA from 1 species
GCUCAGAUUGAACGCUGGCGGCAGGCCUAACACAUGCAAGUCGAACGGUAACAGAAAGAAGCUUGCUUCUUUGCUGACGAGUGGCGGACGGGUGAGUAAUGUCUGGGAAACUGCCUGAUGGAGGGGGAUAACUACUGGAAACGGUAGCUAAUACCGCAUAACGUCGCAAGACCAAAGAGGGGGACCUUCGGGCCUCUUGCCAUCGGAUGUGCCCAGAUGGGAUUAGCUUGUUGGUGGGGUAACGGCUCACCAAGGCGACGAUCCCCAGCUGGUCUGAGAGGAUGACCAGCCACACUGGAACUGAGACACGGUCCAGACUCCUUACGGGAGGCAGCAGUA